AUCAGGGCUUGAGAACCAGCGACAGUCCAACCUUGGAGGCCUUGUCGAUCGCCUUGGUGUCGACCUCGGCGGAGAGCGUUAAGAAAGACUUGGGUCUCCACUCGUGCUGGAUGAGGGCGCUGACCAUGCCGUGGUUGUUGUAGCGCGCCUUCACGGUAGUGAGAGGGUCCAGGGCGUGCUGCAUCCCGAAGCUGAGGGUGUUCUCCUUGGUCGAGAAGCUGUGGGUCAGCUCCGCUCCAGCAGCCGUACCUGACUCUUUGUUCACCAGAUGGUAGUAGGACGCAGUGAGGCUGUCCCCUUUGUUCGUCAGAUCAGCAGCAAGAUCUGAAUUGUUGAUGGUCAGUCCAGCAUCGUACUUGGUGAAGUCCCCAGUAGAAGUAUCAACUGCAACAUCAGCACCGACAGCAACAGAUUUGUUGCCGAACACACCAGAAAGGUUAACCAAAGGCUUUGAGGUCAGGCCAACACCGAGGCUGAUACCAGCGUAGUCAUGCAGGUACUGGAAUGCAUAUACCUUCCCAGCUGUCUGGUAUGGAAAAGGAAGUGAUACGAUUUGCUUCAAGCCUGAUACACCAAGGUCUUCAGUUGUGAUUGUAAAACUUGCCUGAGAAUCGGAAGUAGCUUUCACAUCCAGCAUCACAUUAUUGCUCUUCAGCUUGGUCUGGAUCUCGCUAAAGAUAGCUUCAUCUUUCAUUCAUGCGGAAAUCGGUAAUGCUCACAACUCCAUUGUUGGUGUAGGUGGUCAGGGUAAACUUCUGGUCCGUGUGGAAGUCCUUGUACAGAAGAUC
rnacentral:sRNA from 1 species